GCUUAUCAUAAUUGAAGGUCGCAUUGAUGUGAUUUGUUUGUUGUGCUGAUGUCUUUUGUUUUAUGAUUAAGGGCUGUAUUUUAGACAGGUCAUUCAAACUUAUUUGACGUGCACACCAUAUAUUCGCUAUAUGUCCUCAUUUAACAUCUACAAUCAUUGUGUGUUAGUUUUUCUCUGUUUCAGAAAAUUGUAUGAUGUU
rnacentral:lncRNA from 1 species